CAGGUGUCAUUGCUGCCCUAGGCGUGUGAAGGAACAGAGUCAAGCGGGUAUCCUCCUGGCAGCCUGUUGAGUCGCAUCAAGAUUUCAGGUACCGUGAGGAGGCGCAUAGCUGAAGUUUGGAAACGGCAGCACCGAAGCGGAUGUAGAGAACAUGUCGCCGUCCACGUCUGGCUGACGAUGGAUUUUGUCCGGUCGUCUUGCAAAAGCUAAGUGUCGGGGCCAGUAGGUGGGAGAAGGGGAAAAACCUUUACUAUCACAGGAGACAAUUUGAUGUUAGCUUAGAGGAGAGGCCCAUAGUGGGACGGGCCCCUCGGAAGCAGAGGGAGAGGGUUUCUCCUCAGCCUCACCAGAGUCUUCGCCGGGCAGGGCAGUUCCGAUCCGUCUUCGCGUCCUCGCGAGGUUUGCGUCGGCGGCCUUCUUUGACUCUUGACGUCGUCGUGGAUCUUUUCACCCGAGGAGCUCGCCUUCACGUCCGGAGCUCUAGCCACGGUCACGCCGUAGUCAUCGCUUUCUUGUCUAGGCCUACUGAGCUUCUUAGGCUUCCUCUUAAGUCCUUUGGCACUAACAUCUUGAAAGGAGUUAAAUUUCAUCAUCACAUGCUAUUGCCCUAGGGCUUUCUUUCCUUUGGCAUCAUCGGCCUAUGACUCAUCUUGGACUAGCAAUCUUGGGUCCAUAAGGUGGAACUGCCAGGCAGUUUUCACUCGUGUCUGUGUUAUGUCGUCCGUGUCUGUGUUAUGUCGUCCGUGUCUGUGUUAUGUCGUCCGUGUCCAUUGAUUUCUGCGUCAUAGGCCUUUGUUACAUCUCGAGGCUUUAUCGGCAUUGUUCUCUGCAGUAUCGGCCAUAUUUUACUCGUGUACCUUCCUGGAUAUCGCUUAUUCCGGCAUCGUUACAUUUUUACUUUUUGAGACGGGAAGAAGUACAGGAGACGUUCUCAUCCAUCUUCCUUCUCACCUUUGGUAGCGCCUUCUCUUCCCGUGCCAUUCUCUUGGACUUCUAGAGGGAGCAUAUUAGACCCUCAUCACCUGACCGCAGUAGUUCCGUAGCUUGCGCCUUCUCAAAGGGUAUAGGGCUCAACAAUUAAUCUUCCGGAGAGUUACGUCAAGUCCUCACUUAUAUUGUAUCUAC